UCAUGCCCCAGAUUGAAGUGAAAACCCCGGAAUUGUGAAAGUUUACAUUUUUUGCAUUAAGAAAGCGACUGGAAGAAGCUCUUGUUAAUGCUUAAAAAUGUUACUUUGACAAUGAGGAGUUGUAACGGAAAGCUGGAUUAGGC
rnacentral:ncRNA from 3 species